GACCGCUCCGGUGGAAUAGUGGUUAGAACGUCCACCUCGGAUGCGGGAGGUUGUGGGUUCAAUCCCCGGCCGAGUCA